rnacentral:rRNA from 1 species
UGGGGAAUUUUGGACAAUGGGCAAAGCCUGAUCCAGCAAUGCCGCGUGUGUGAAGAAGGCCUUCGGGUUGUAAAGCACUUUUGUCCGGAAAGAAAUCCUUGGCUCUAAUACAGUCGGGGGAUGACGGUACCGGAAGAAUAAGCACCGGCUAACUACGUGCCAGCAGCCGCGGUAAUACGUAGGGUGCAAGCGUUAAUCGGAAUUACUGGGCGUAAAGCGUGCGCAGGCGGUUUGCUAAGACCGAUGUGAAAUCCCCGGGCUCAACCUGGGAACUGCAUUGGUGACUGGCAGGCUAGAGUAUGGCAGAGGGGGGUAGAAUUCCACGUGUAGCAGUGAAAUGCGUAGAGAUGUGGAGGAAUACCGAUGGCGAAGGCAGCCCCCUGGGCCAAUACUGACGCUCAUGCACGAAAGCGUGGGGAGCAAACAGGAUUAGAUACCCUGGUAGUCCACGCCCUAAACGAUGUCAACUAGUUGUUGGGGAUUCAUUUCCUUAGUAACGUAGCUAACGCGUGAAGUUGACCGCCUGGGGAGUACGGUCGCAAGAUUAAAACUCAAAUGAAUUGACGGGGUCAUAGCUGUUUCCU